AUCCCGCCUUGAUCGAGGUAACCUUUCAUUAGCUAAAAUAGUAUUUGUCCUUGGAGUUGAAGAGCACUGAAGUCGAUCUCUUAAGGUCCGAAACGCUGAAGACUGAGGUAACAACAUCAAUAUCCCAUACAGGGCUUUGUGAAGGUACGGGUAUUUUUCAGGCUCUAAUAAUUGUAAGCGCAUAUCUAAUGUCAUUAGUAAUAUGUAAAACAAUUAUUCAAUUGCACCCACAUGUGAAGACCGGGGAUUCUAUUAAUUGAACUAACUUGUCCAACUGUAUCAACAUAUCGAUAUUAAACUCAAUUUCAGC